CCUACGGGAGGCAGCAGUGGGGAAUAUUGCGCAAUGGGGGCAACCCUGACGCAGCAACGCCGCGUGGAGGAUGAAGGUUUUAGGAUUGUAAACUCCUUUUGUUAGGGAAGAUUAUGACGGGGUCUAACUAAUAAACGCCGGCUAACUCCGUGCCAGCAGCCGCGGUAAUACGGAGGGUGCAAGCGUUACGCGGAAUCACUGGGUGUAAAGAGUGCGUAGGCGGGGGAAUAAGUCAGAUGUGAAAUCCUGUGGCUUAACUACAGAACUGCAUUUGAAACUGUUACUCUGGAGUGUGGGAGAGGUCGGUGGAAUUCUUUGUGUAGCGGUAAAAUGCGUAGAGAUAAAGAGGAAUACUAAUUGCGAAGGCGAACGGCUGGAACACUACUGACGGUGAUGCACGAAAGCGUGGGGAGCAAACAGGAUUAGAUACCCGUGUAGUC
rnacentral:rRNA from 1 species